CUGCACUCCUGCAUUUCUAGGCAAAACCUUUGUAAAAUGGAAACUUAGCACCUGUGAAACUUGCCGUGGGCUCCAUAUAGUUUAGCUUUUUAUUGAACAG